UUCCGGUUGAUCCCGCCGGACCUGACUGCUAUCGGAUUGAUACUAAGCCAUGCGAGUCAUUGUAGCAAUACAAGGCAGACGGCUCAGUAACGCGUAGUCAACCUAACCUAUGGACGGGAAUAACCUCGGGAAACUGAGAAUAAUGCCCGAUAGAACAUUAUACCUGGAAUGGUUUAUGUUCCAAAUGAUUUAUCGCCGUAGGAUGGGACUGCGGCCUAUCAGUUUGUUGGUGAGGUAAUGGCCCACCAAGACUAUUACAGGUACGGGCUCUGAGAGGAGUAGCCCGGAGAUGGGUACUGAGACACGGACCCAGGCCCUAUGGGGCGCAGCAGGCGAGAAAACUUUGCAAUGUGCGAAAGCACGACAAGGUUAAUCCGAGUGGUUUCUGCUAAAGGAACCUUUUGUUAGUCCUAGAAACACUAACGAAUAAGGGGUGGGCAAGUUCUGGUGUCAGCCGCCGCGGUAAAACCAGCACCUCAAGUGGUCAGGAUGAUUAUUGGGCCUAAAGCAUCCGUAGCCGGCUCUGUAAGUUUUCGGUUAAAUCUGUACGCUCAACGUACAGGCUGCCGGGAAUACUGCAGAGCUAGGGAGUGGGAGAGGUAGACGGUACUCGGUAGGAAGGGGUAAAUCCUUUGAUCUAUUGAUGAC
rnacentral:rRNA from 1 species